UUGAUUGGCCAGCGCUCGCAGCUGGGAGUUGCGUUGCUUGCUGGGGUUAAUUAGAGAUUGAAAAGAAGUGCGGCCGUGUCGUCCUCUGUUCUGACAUCAUCAUGUUUCAUUAGAAGUGCUGACGAGAACCCAGAACUCUGAAGACAGCAGUUUUGUGCAAGAUAAGAAUGUUAGAAUGUUCCUUAAAGAAGCUGAUGGAGGAUAGAGCUCUGACAGCACAAGAUGACACCAUAAUAUAGUCUGAAAUUGUCUUUCCAAUCCAGCUGCGAUGGAGUCAAUGGGUGAAGCUCAAGGGCAACAAGAACAGCUGAACAGGAAGGAGCAGUCCCUGAAAACCACCCAGAAAACUGCGCUGCUUGCUUGGGCUGCCUGGUGGAAUGGAUUAAUGACUGGAGACAGCAUGUAUCUGUUUGUCCUCUCUCAGAUACUGCUUCUCUGCAUGAUGCUGUGGUACAGCACUUAUGGGACCAUCUCAGCAGCUCAGAAUGCCUUUGACAUGCUGUUUUACUUGCUUACCCCAUUUGAACAGUCUUUGUCAGAUCAAGGAGGGAAUCUAACCAGAAUUGGGAAUGUUGUGAUAUCGUAUAUCCUGCUGUCCUUAGUUUCUCUAGGACUGCUACUUGUUGGAUCUCUGUUUUGGCAUCUGCUCAGAGCUCGUCCAGACCCCCCCUUUCCGCUACAGGAGGACAGACGCCAAUCUGUGAGCCGGCAGCCUUCAUUCACAUACUCAGAGUGGACAGAAGAUAAAAAUGAGGAUGACUUCCUAGACUUGGAUCCUGUACCAGAGACCCCAGUCUUUGACUGUGUAAUGGACAUUAAAGUGGAGACAGACCCAGCUACUCUAACAGUUAAAUCCGUGGGCUUGCAAGAAAGGAGGGGUUCCAAUGUUUCACUCACACUAGAUAUGUGUACCCCAGGCUGUUCUGAGCAAGGUUUUGGCUAUAUCAUGUCACCACGGGAACAGUCAGCACAAGAAUAUCUCCAGACAGCAUCAAACAUUCUUACUGAAGAAGAACUUCACAAGAAAGCUCUGGAUUCAUUCAUACUUCAGGCAGAAUUCUUUGAAAUUCCAAUGAACUUUGUUGAUCCAAAGGAAUAUGAUAUUCCAGGCCUGGUGCGGAAGAAUCGCUACAAAACAAUUCUUCCAAAUCCUCACAGCAGAGUGUGCCUUACCUCAGCUGAUCAGGACGACCCCCUUAGCUCUUACAUCAAUGCUAACUACAUCAGGGGCUACGGAGGAGAGGAAAAAGUGUAUAUUGCUACUCAGGGACCAAUAGUUAACACUGUCAGUGAUUUCUGGAGAAUGGUGUGGCAGGAGCGUUCUCCCAUCAUUGUCAUGAUUACCAAUAUAGAGGAAAUGAACGAGAAAUGCACAGAAUAUUGGCCAGAGGAACAGAUCACCUAUGAAGGAAUAGAAAUCAUAGUUAACCAAGUCAUACAAGCAGAUGACUACCGUUUAAGGCUCAUCACCCUAAAGAAAGGAGAAGAAGUCAGAAACCUGAAACAUUACUGGUACACGUCUUGGCCAGACCAGAAGACACCAGAUCAAGCUCCUCCUCUGUUACAACUAGUACUGGAAGUGGAAGAGGCAAUGCAGAGUGCAGAAGAGAAGAAUGCUCCAGUGAUUGUUCACUGCAGUGCAGGCAUCGGGAGGACGGGCUGCUUUAUUGCAACUAGUGUCUGUUGUAAACAGCUGAAGAGUGAGGGAAUAGUUGACAUAUUGCGAACAACUUGCCAGUUACGGUUAGACAGCCCCAUUCAUUCCUGUCAUCUGCAUUACUGACCAUUUGGAUGCAAGAGAAGAGUGAGAACAGAACAGCGAAAGUGAGGGCAGUAAGCAGAAGAGGAUAAAACCCCUUUGGGGCAGGACCAGGCAAAAGUAAGACUGAUCUCUCUCCUGGAUUCAAAAAUCAUAUUGCUAUGAGAAAAAUUCUUGAGCAGAAGAGGAAUGACAGCAGUGUCUAGAGAUGCGUGAUAUCCCUUUAUAUUUUUUAGAAGAUAUAAUGAGAUACGUAGGCUAUGUCAGAGACUCUGUAAUUGUUUUCUGUAAAUAAGGAGUCAGAGAACAUUCAUCUCUUACGCAGGCCAACUGGAGACAAAGGCCAGCUCCAGAAGAAUACCAAACUGUAUGUAUUAUGACAAGGAAUAGGAUCUCCUUGGGUAAAUGCCAAAAGAGAGCGCUCUUGCUAAAGCUGUAAUUUCUCCUGGCAACAAAGCAAAGUCUGGAGGUCACAUGGUCUUACCAUUGUCCUCUUAGUUGAUUGUGUCUUCUAGAUUGCAGCUCAUAACUACAAACUUUAUCAGAGUUGAACCCUGUGCCCCUAACUUUGGGGAAGGUUGCGUUUUGGGUUGCCUUCCUUCUGCCCAAAGAUCCUUCAGUGGGAACAUAACUGUGUCAAAGUUUCACUUUUAUCUGCCUUGUCAAGGAACACUUUCUAAAACUAGGGGUUCUCUAUUUCUAGAUGACUAGCACCUAUAACUCAAAGACUAGAAUUGAGUAGUUUCUCUACUCCAAACAGUCUUUCAUAUUGAGACUAGUCUUGGCACAGCAGUAGGUAGCAGACACCCUCCUGGAAAUGGGUGAUAUGCUUCCUGAAAUUUCUCCAGUUAGCAUAGAUGGAUAAUCUUCUCAAGUGGUACAUACCAAGCUAGUUGUUGCCUUUAGGUGUAAAAUGGUAUGGGAGUUGAGAAUUUGUCUAAAUGAAGGGCAAAGUAGGGCUUAGUAAAAUUUAGGAGGAUAGAGUAAAUCCUAAUAUUUCUUUUGAUGCAUCUAGUUUUGACACCUUUCUUGAACGUUUAACAUCAGAGCAUCAAAGCAUCUUGUAGCACCACUAUGCAAGCAAGGUAGCCCAGUUUUUCCAUUAUGCAGAUGACACAGCUGGGACACAGGGAGAGCAAAUUACUUGCCCAAAGUCUCACAGGAAGACUGGAAAAAAAUAAGGAAUUGAUCAGCACUCCCUAUGAAAAGUCAGCACAGUACUUGCUGCAAAAUCCUUUAUGUGUAAGGGUUUUAACUGACCAGGCAAUUGUUUAUUUAUCUGUUGUAUUCCAGGGCUUCUUGUUGUAUCCUUACUUUCCUGUUUCUGGUAAAUAAAUCUUUCAAACAACAUCUCUCUGUUCAACUUGAUUAACAUGUUUUUUCCCAACCUAAGAGGUUGUUUUUAGGAAGUCUGUGCCAUGUAGGAGCAUUUUAGUAUGGUGACAUGCUCCUUUGAGAUCCUUGCUGGAGAAAAUAUUUUUAAAUUUGUGGAAAAGCCUUGUCCACUGACAACACCCAAGGGACUUUCUAAUGUGACUCUGGAGGCUUGCCAGUGUGAUUCCCAUCUACAAGAGUCUAAGGAGGAUCUGGGAAACUACAGACCCAUCAGCCUGACAUCGAUGCCAGGAAAGACUAUGGAACAGAUCGUCUUGAGGGAGAUCACUGGUAUUUGCUGGACAACUGGGGAAUCAGGCCCAGGUAGCAUGGGUUCAUGAAAGGAAGGACCUGCUUGACCCACCUGAUCUUCUUUUAUGCAUUGUUAGCAUUUCAGCAAACUCCCAGUAGAUGGCCUGGCAGAAAAGGUGGUGGGAAGGAUUUCUGUAAUCUGUUUUCCCAGUAAUGACCAUCUGAUGGGGGAGCAUUGAGAUCUCUAUCUGUGUUCUCUGAUGCUAUGAAAACUUGUUUGGAACUGCAUGAAUCCCUCUUCCAAGAGAGGUCUAGAUAUCUCGAAUGUUAUAACAUGACAGUUGCUUGUUUAGUUGGAAAAGAAGCAUGAAUUUCUUGUGAAGUGCUAUGUGCAGGAGACCUCCAGCUUUGAAGAACAUGAAGAAGUUGGUGGUUGAGGAGAUCAUCCUUAAGAAUCUGGAGAAUUUAGAGAAGGCCUGUGUGAACUUCUCUCAUUUCUCAAGAAAUUGAAAGAGAUGAAGAAAGAAGUGGAGGUUGAAGUUAGUGUCACAGUACCCCAAGAC